GGCGCUGAUGCUGUCUUAUAUGUACUUACAAAGAGUUCUGUCAGUUUUCUUUACUUCAGAUCUCUUUGUUGGUAUCCAGGGCCUACAGCACAAGGGUACUCAGUUUAGAUUCAAGCUGGGACUAUACAUAUAUAAAUCCAGAUUCAUAUAGAAGAAUGUCUACAAGAAAACAUACCAACUAUUUUCUUCAUGUGAUUACCGCUUCCUCUCAGCUGCUCCUGUAUUUGUGUAAGCCACGUGAUGAAGAAGAACAAACACAGACUCUGGAGUUUGAUGUCUAGGUCUCUGAUUAAAUCCAGACUGUCACUCACAGAUCAUAGCGAUGGGGAGAAAAUCCACAUCAAAUGACAAUGGUAGUGAAGCUGUAACACUGGGGGCAGAAAGGACAUACACAAAGUGGAAGGAAUAAAGAAAACUUGAAGAUCAGGGAAUGACAGAUUUAAAACAAUUGUGAAAACACAGAAGGGAUUAUUGACCUAAAUCAUUUGUCUCUAAAUCAAAAGACAAGAAAACAGAAAAGUUCUCCAUGUCAUAAAUGGAAAAAAACUGGAUUGCAGGGUGUUAAGCAGAAGCUCAGUGCCACUAUCCAGGGCUACCAUGGAAGAGGAGUGAGAAAUAGUGGCAGCAAGUGAGGAAUGGUGUGGCACAGGACCAGCGAUACUGCUGCCAUUCUUGACUGACCCCAGUUCUCCUGGACAUCCCAGUCCAUCCCGACACCUAUGGUUAUGUGCUGCUCAGCCCAUUUUCCUCAACAUCAGCAUCACCAUUAUGUGGAGAUUCUGAUUUCUCUAUUCCAAUGAUCAGAUCAGAUCCUUGGAGAUAGCAUUGGUUUGGAAGUAAACUGGUGAUCAUCGCUCCCCUUGGACACCAUAGUAAGAAUGCUGGUGAGCCCUGCCCAGUCCAGACCACUAGGCUUAUCGCCUAAACCCAGUCACCCUGUUCACAGCUUUCUCCUAUAUGCUCACUAUCCCCAUUACUAAGCUUCUGAUGCAACUUUUGUUCCUGUCCAUAAGGUUAUAAGAAUUUAGAAACUGAUUAUAUCUAUAGGCAAUGCACAAUUCUGUUACGCAACAAUUUUGUUUGAUUUUUGUGUGUGUGUGUGUGACUUAACAAAUGAUUAUCUGUGAAUGGCAACUAUGAGGAAAUCUGCAGAAAACAGAAAAAUAUCUUGUGAGUCAGAAAAGUACCUGUUUUUGGAAUCUGAUGAAGAGUUACCGGCUGAUGUCUAGUUCUAAAAAAUGUCACUCUGCUUUGGAGAUGUAAGAGUCCUGAAUGUUUAUAUAGUAAGCAUCAUUCCAAUAAUGGAUCUAUAUUUAGUGUAUUUUAAACCUGCUCCUUUUUGUGACAU